rnacentral:rRNA from 1 species
GACGGAGGAGGCUAGCGUUGUUCGGAAUUACUGGGCGUAAAGCGCACGCAGGCAGCUAUGCAAGUCGGAUGUGAAAGCCCGGGGCUCAACCCCGGAUGUGCAUCCGGGACUGUGUGGCUAGAGUCCGGGAGAGGAGAGCGGAAUUCCCAGUGUAGAGGUGAAAUUCGUAGAUAUUGGGAAGAACACCAGUGGCGAAGGCGGCUCUCUGGCCCGGUACUGACGCUCAUGUGCGAAAGCGUGGGGAGCAAACAGG